rnacentral:lncRNA from 1 species
CAGCUCUUGGCCUCUGGCCGCCCUUGGACGCCUAAGGCAUAUCAAGGAAGUUCCAGAGGAACAAACCCACUCCCGUCCUAUUGAGGUAUGUUUACUAUGCCAGUCUUAUAGAUGAUUCCAAGCCCGUAGAAUGCUGUCUUUGUACAUAGCCCAUCUUCCUUAAAAAGGCCAGAGCCACAAAUUCACAUCAAGGUUUUCCUGACAAGGUAACACUUAAGCAGCACUGUUUGGGAGAAUUGUAGUGAACUCCAACAAUUUAUGGAGAACUUAUUGUGCCAGGCGCUAGGGUAGUUCUCGGAAGAGUCAUCAGAAAGUAGAAAAGGCGGGGCGCCUGGGUGACUCAAUAGGUUAAGGGUCCGACUGCGGCUCAGGUCAUGAUCUCAUGGUUUGUUGGUUCAAGCCCCAUGACGGGCUCUGUGCUGACAGCUCAGAGCCUGGAGCCUGCUUCGGAUUCUGUGUCUCCCUCUCUCUCUGUUUCUCCCCUGCUUGUGCUCUGUCUCUGUCAAAAAUAAACAAACACUUAAAAAAGAAGAAAAAGAAAGGAGAAAAGGCUGCUGAUGGCUUUGGCAAAGCAGAGACAUGUUUGUGUGGAUGGUGGGUGGUGGCAAGGUAACAAGUCAAGGCUAUAUCAGGAUGGGACAUUUUGGGUCAACACUUGGAAUGAUUACAGAAAUUUUUUUUUAGGUGGCAACAUUUCACACUCUUCCCAUGAUCUGGGAUUGAUCACAGUAAUUAGCAUGUAUUGAGAGCUUAUAGUUUCUUUACAUUUUUAAAAAAACUUUAUCUCUUAAGAGAGAAAGAGUGUGAGUAGAGGAGGGACAGAGAGAGAGAGAGAGAGAGCGAGAGAGAAUCCCAAGCAGGCUCUGCACUGCUAGCACUGAGCCAGAUGCAGGGCUCGAACCCACCAACCAUGACCUGAGCCUAAAUCCAAUGCUUAAUCAACUGAGCCACCCAGAGCUACUAGCUCACUUAACCCCCAUCAUACACUUACGUGGAGGGUACUAUGGUCAUCAACCUCAUUUUACUGAUGGGGAGAUUGAGGUUUAGAUUAACAGACUUUCCCAGACCAACACAGAGUUGCUGGUGUAGUGCAGAAACCAUAGUCUUUCUUGCUGCUACAACCCUUUGCUUCCUCCUCGGUCAGGCCUUUAAGUUGCCUGUUUACUUGUCCUUACUCAUCUUAUUCUUCCUCAAUCUCCCUACCUAGUCACUUUCCCCAGGCACUGUCAGCAAUACCUGUUCAUUUCAGUAUCCUAUUUAUUUGCACCAAGCAGCACCUGUCAUUUAUUCACUCAUCAAACUUUUUACAAGCACACCUCUGUGCCUCAUUGGUCUAGGCGGUGGGUUUUCCACAGUGAACAAGACAAUGGAAUUUGUGUUCUGGUAGAGAAGGCAGACUGAAACAAAUAGGCAAGUAGCUUUAUGACCUGAUGUUGGGCAGUAACAGAAAACAAUUCAGAGAAAGGGAAUAGAGAAUGAUGUGGGAAGUCUUCUCUGAGAAGAGGGCAUUGGAGGAGACCUGACUGAAGUAAGGGAACAGGCCAUGUGAGUAUCUGGAGGAACAACAGCCCAUAGGUGGGAGUAGCAAGUACAAAGGCCCCGAGGCAGGAACAUGGUCAGUGGGAAAAGGAAUACUGAAGAGGUUGGUGUGCCGGAGGUCAGUGGAGAGCAGAGAAUGAAGUCACCAAGGGCCUAGUAAGCCAUGUGUGAUGGAAACAUACUGCAAGGCCCUGAGCAGGCCAGUAACACCAUCUGACUUAAAGUACCCUCUUCUCACACCAUGCAUGUCCUAGUUAGCAUUUAAAGAAUCAACCAAUCAUGGCUCUCAGGCCUGCGGGUCCCCACCCUCUACACAUUUCUCUCUGCUUUAUUGUUACUGCUUUCCCUCCUUCCACAAAACAUCUUUGCAUUUCUUCAUCCUUACCCCAUCCCUUCCCAUUUCCCUGAGGAGACCUUCAUCCAUUUUUUUAUUCCCUGGCGUCUCCACCUCCAUCCUGUCCUUCCUUACUUGUGCCUUCCCCUUGGGUAGGCCAUGUAGAUUCAUUAGAAUCACCUGGGCCACAGACUUUCUGAGGGUAGGCCUUAGGAAACUAGUAUUUUUUAAUAGCACCCAGAUGCUUCUAGGAUGUUACAGGAGUUGCAAACCACUGGUCUCAGUCUAUAAACCUGCUCAAGGCUCUCCAACCUAAAAAAACCUUUCACUUAACACUGUGUUCUUCUGUCUCUCUCUCUUCACAGCCUAAGUUCCUGAAAGAUCAUCUAGUCCAACUAGACUUCACCAGGCACAUGAAUCACCCAAGAAGCUUGUUAAACUGCAAAAUCUGAUUCAGAAGAGCUGGCUGCGGCUCGAGGUUCUGCAUGCCUCAUGGACUCCCAGGUGGGGUGAGUGUAGCUGGACCACUCUUUGUAGCGAAGGGCUGGACUUCUGGUCUUGACUCUCUUGCUUCCAACUCACCUUUUUUCUCAUUGCCAUGUAGCUUCACCCCACAGCCCCGCUGAAAUUUGUUCCCCCUGAUGUUACUUGUGACCCACCGGCUACCUCUUUUCUGAGGCAGCAGAUAUAAUGGUGAAGAGCACAGACCUGGGAAACAGAUAACCUAGGUUCAGAAUACAGCCCUCCCACUUCCUAGCUGGGUGGCCUCUCUGUGCCUCAGUGUCCUCGUUUUAGGGAGGGAACAAUAAUGAUAACACCCAUCUCACUUGGUGGUCUUGAAAAUUAAGGGAGUUAAUACAUUGAGAGCUGUUAGAACAGUGCCUGGCACACAAGAACUUCACAAGUACUGGUGUUUUUCAUUUUACGAGAACUCCUAACUGACAGCAUUUGACUCCAUUCACUCCACCAUGCUGAAAACUCUCUUCUCCCUUAGCUUCCAGAACACCACCCUAUCUCUUAGUUCUCUACCUACCUCUGGCUGCUCCUCUCCUUGCCGCCCUGGUAUGAUGGUGUUUCCCAGGGUUCUGGCUUAGCCUCUUUGGUUUUCUCAACGCACCUGGGCUCAGUGGGUAACCCAGCUUACCCAGUGCCUUGAAUUCAGUAUCUAAGUGUGGAACUCUCCUGAAUCUAGAUCUUCAUCCCAGGUCUUUCAGUUUCCUAUCCACAUAUCGCACUGCCUGCUCUAGGUCUCCACAGAGAUUCAUUAAUUCAUUCAACACAUAUGUAUUGGUUACCUACUCUGUGCCUGACUGAAUGCCAAGUGCUGGGGAUAUAACAGUGAAGUAGUUAGACCCGAGCCAAGACCUCUGGGAACUCAUGAUCUGGAAUAAAGAUUCAAUACUAAUUCUGCAGUUAUUGAUUAAAGUGCAUUCAGGAUUAGCAAUACAAAAGAGAGGUGCAGGCUGCUGUGGGGGGUGUAUAAUGGGAACCCUGACCUUGUCCGGGAGUGACUUAUACAUACUCCAGACUCAGCACGUCCCAAACCAAACUCAUCGCUUCCCCCAAGCCUACCCUAUCCCUCUUCUGCUUGUGUUGUUUCGCUCAAUGAACAGCACACCCAUCGUCCCAUCCAGGCCAAGACCUGGGUGUCAAUACCCAUACUAUCCCUUGCUGACUCCUUCCACUCACCGGGAGACUUCUCCUUUCUAGAAAAGUAGCCUUCUCGGGUAACUCCUGGCACUCUAUAAAUUCCUACUGCCCAGUGCUCAAGCAAUCUGAUUUUACCUUCACUGGUAAAGUUGCACUUAGAAAAAAAGGAGCAAAUAAGGGUGUGAGGUCCAUCCCCAGAAACACAGACCCAGUCUGUGUCCUGCGGCACUUGACCAUGGCACACCUGUCUGGGGAACAAGGGGAAGAUAGAGUCCUCGUGCCCUUUUUUCACUGAUCCUUGGCUUAUAACUUCUCCCAAUAAAACCCCGUUUUUUAAUCCACACCGUGUAAAGUAAAAUGCACUCUGAUCCAUGUUGUGUGACAGACACAAAGUGUCUGUGUUUUAUAAAAAAAAAAAAAUUAUUAUUCCCAGUAUAAAAGCAAUGCCUACUUAUGGUGAUUAGUAUCUUUAUUAGACCAGCUCUGAAGCCUGAUUUGAGACAUUGCAAAUAACAAUAAUAAUAAUAGUAACAAUAUCUGAGUGUAGUAGACAUUUAUCUUUUUUUUGAGCUAUCCCACAUUUGAACUCCCUGUCUGUUUGGAAGGAUCCCCAUUGUAUGAACCUUGUGGGAAGCCCAGUCAAGAGCCAGACAGUGCUCCCUGAGCUCAGGCAGCUAGAACAUGGGCACGUGAUUGUUGUUAGUGAAUCAGGGGAUCCUGCCCAGAAAUCUGGACCAUGAAAGAGUGACACAAAGACAGAGGGACAGUUAGUAUAUUUGUUAUAGCAAUGCGGGCAUCAGGAGUCCAGCAGCAGCAAUGGCUACGAGUGCCUGGGUAGCAGUUCCAGUGACAGUCUCCUAACCAAAUCGUUGACCUUGGUUUGACCUUGGUUGGGUUCUGUCCUACUAAGCCUUCCUUUGCUUCCAAAAGAUAGUGAGAAACACCUUAUGAUCUUAUAAUAAAGCCUUUUCUGCUUAAGGUAGCUGGACUCAAUUUCCACUCUUGAUAAUCAAGUAUCUUUUUUAUCUUUUUUUUCUUUUUUUAAAUGUUCAUUUUUUAUUUAUAUUUGAGAAGGAGAGAGACAGAGCAUGAGCAGGGGAGGGGCUAAGAGACAGAAACAGAAUCUGAAGCAGGCACAGAGCCUGACGUGGGGCUCAAACUCACGAGCAAUGAGAUCAUGACCUGAGCCGAAGUCUGACACUUAACUGACUGAGCCACCCAGGCACCCCUGCAAUCAAGAAUCUUGACUAGGGGCGCCUGGGUGGCUCAGUCGGUUAAGCGUCCGACUUCAGCUCAGGUCACGAUCUCGCGGUCUGUGAGUUCGAGCCCCGCGUCGGGCUCUGGGCUGAUGGCUCAGAGCCUGGAGCCUGCUUCUGAUUCUGUGUCUCCCUCUCUCUCUGCCCCUCCCCCGUUCAUGCUCUGUCUCUCUCUGUCUCUAAAAAUAAAUAAACAUUAAAAAAAAUUUAAAAAAAAAAAAAAAAAGAAUCUUGACUGAUAUGAUUGUUACAGAAAAAUUGGAAAGUUCUAAAAAGUAGAAUGAGAAAAAAACUCAUUGCCCUACAUCCAGAAAAAGUUAUUAACAAUAAUAAUAAAACUUCCAGUCUUUUACUAUAUACACAUUUUGACAUAAUUAUGAUUACAUGAUUAUAUAAAAAUUUAUGUACUCUGAGCUGAUUUUAAAAAUUGUAUUAUUUAAAAGGUGACAUAUAAUCAUUGUAGAAAAUUUGAGGAUACCAAAAAAUAAAAAAUAAAAACCAACGCAAAAAGCUACAACCCAAAGAUAACUACUGUUCAUAAUUGGUAUAUUUCCUAAAAAUUUUUUCUGCAUUUUUACAAAGCUGAGAAUACUGAUUAUUCCACAUGUUUAUGCAUAGUUAACUGAGCAUUUUUAACAGUUCUAGAUAAAAGAUGGCAUGAAGAGGAGCUUGGGGAUGGAUAUGGAUAAUAUCUGCCCUUUGUGUGGUAAAUACCAGUUAAAAAGCCUUAAUGGAUUCAGGGCUUUAAAGAUGCAGAAAAUCAUUAUGCAAGUUUCUUGGCAGUGAACAUGUGUAUUAUGUGCCCUUCCCAACUCUGCUUCUAGUGACAAAAAUACAGAAGACUUUUUGUUCAGUGAUUUUCCUGGCACAGGGUUCCAAGCUUUUAAAAAGUUUGUCCAUUAUUGGCAAGUGCUGCAAUACAAUAGGAAGCGCUAUUGUUUUUAGUGUCAUCAAACAUGGGCAAAGACACCACAUGGACUGUGGAAGGAAUUAUGUAGCUUGAGAAACACUGGUCCAGGAACUGAGGAAGGAGUGGAAUGGAAGAGAAACAGCUGACAAGCUGACUCUGCAGAGUGGCAGAGGGCCUGAGUCCUGGGACUAAACUGCCAAGGUUUGACUCUUGGUUCUUACUCCUUAGUUAUCUUUUGACUUUGCGGAAGUUACUUUAAACUCUCUGGGCCUGGGGUGCCUGGGUGGCUCAGUUGGUUGGGCUUCUGACUUUGGCUCAGGAAAUGAUCUCACGGUCCAUGAGUUCAAGCUCAGCAUCAGAAGCCUGCUUCUGAUUCUGUAUCUCCCACUCUUUCUGCCCCUCCCUACCCAUGCUCUGUCUCUCUCAAUCUCAAAAACGAAUAAGUGUUAAAAAAAAUUUUUUUUAAACUCUCUGGGCCUAUUUUCUCACCUGGAAAAUGAGAAAUGAUAUUCACUAAUUUUUUUUUCCAGACUUUUGCAACUAUCUUCAAAUUGAGAGUGGGUAGGUGGAUGAUAAGAGUAUUGCCUAUUUCAUAGAACACUAUUUAAUCAGAGAGGGCUAAAUAAAUGAAUAACUAUAAAGUGCUCAGCUCUUUUGCUGAGCUGCAGUAUCCACAUAUGACACAGAAUUCAUCUGGAUCAUGGAAUUUGAGAAACCUUGUAAGUCCUUUAUAUCACAAUUUUCCAUUUCCUGAAUUAUUCUUUUUUUUAUUGAGUUUUUGAAUUAAAACGUAUUCAGAAAAGUGCACAAACCAUAAAUGUAUGGCUUGAUUAUAACAAAGCAAACACCCUUAUGAAGCCACCACCCAGGUCAAGAAACAGAUGACUAACAUCAGAAAUCUCUCCUAGCCCCUCUUUGUCUUUAUCUCCUGCUAUCCAGACUUCUAACACCAUAGAGUCAUUUUGUCUGUUUUUGAACUUUUUAUAAAUGAAAUAAAUGUGUACUGUUCCACAUGAUGUUUAUGGAAUUCAUCUGGGUUGCUGCAUGCAGCAGAAGUUUGUUCAUUCUCAUUGCUGAAUGUAUUCAGUUGUAGGAUUACAUCAUGCUGAAUUUGUGCAUUCUACUGUUGAGGACCAUUUGGGUUGUUUCUAGUUUAGGGUAUUUAGAAUGGUGCUGGUAUGAAUAUUCUUAGUCCUUUAAUCUAUGAACAUGGUACAUCCCCUCCUCCCUUGAUUUCGGUUUUCUUUGAUUUUUCUCAGUAAUAUAGUAUGUGGUCUUGUACACCUUUCACUAGAUGUAUUCCUAUAAAUUUGUUGCUUUUUUAAUGUUACUGUAAAUGGUCUCAUUGUUGAAUUUCACUAACUGUAGGUGGUUAGUAGAAGUACUACUGAUUUUGGUAUACGGAGAAUGGAUCCAGCAACAUUGCUAAAUUUAAUUAAUAAAUUAAUUGCCUUCCUAUUUGACUCAUUUUUGUUAUUAUUUCCUUUCUUCCACUUUACUUGGGCUUAGUUUUCUGUCUUAUUUUUUUAAAAAAAUUGUUUUACAUGUAUUUAUUUUUGAGAGACAGAGAGGCAGAGCACAAGUGGGGAGGGGCAGAGAGAGAAGGAGACAGAAUCUGAAGCAGGCUCCAGGCUCCGAGCUGUCAUCACAGAGCCUGAUGCGGGGCUUGAACUCACAAACCGUGACAUCAUGACCUGAGCCGAAGUCAGACACUCAACCAACUGAGCCACUCAAGUGCCCUCUGUUUUAUUUUUCUAACUUCUUCCUCCCUAUUGAUCUUAAGGUUGUGAGUUCGAGCCCCACGUUAGGUGUAGCAAUUACUUCAAAAUAAAAUCUUUACAAAAGAAGAAAAAGGACAGGAAGUUGAGAACACUGCACUGGCUACCUCAAAAAAGCAGCCCAUGACAGCAAAAGGGCAGUUGUGCAAUUUUCUAGUUGUUAAAUAUUUGGGGUCUCUGGAUGACAAAGAGAAUUAAGUGUAUUUCUAUCUUUAUGUAUGUCAGUGGAUUGCUUUGUUUCCUAGUUGAAGCAUGGACAAGCAAUUGUUUUGUCUUUCAGAAUCUCGUAAUUGAUUAUCUGUCAGUUUUGAUUUUCAGAAUUGUUUUGCAUUUUUGUGUUUUGUGUGUGUGUGUUUGUGCAAGAAGUACUGGAGGCUAUAAUAGGGGCUGCUCUCCAGGCACCAUUUAGAAUAAGACAUCUCCUGGAAUGAUCUCUCUAAAAUGCAACUCUGACCAUGCCUUACCCUCACUUAAAGGAUUUUAUUAAUUCUCUUUAUCUACUGAACAGGGACCAAACUCCUACCUUGGCAAAUGACCCUUUGUAACAAAGCCCUUGGCGGAGGCUCUGGUCAUACUCAACUAUUUACUGUUCUCCAAAACUGCCUUGCCCCCUCUCCUCUCCCAGCCUUUGGACACAUUACACACAUGGGCUGGCAUGCCCUCUUCACCUGCCUUUACUUGAAAGACUGCUCACCCUUUAAAAUUCAGCUCAGGCAUCACCUCCAAGAAGGAUUCCUGAUCUACCUCCUGAAGCUGAGUGAAAUCCUCUUCCCUGUGCUCUGACAGCCCCCCAGCCCCCAGGCAUUCUUCUGUCAAGCUACUUGCCACAUGGUGAUGGACAGUGUUAUGAGCUCUUAGGAGAAAGGUCUGUUUCUCAUGCAUCUCUUUAUUCCAUGCCCCACUUAUGGGAAGACCUCAGUAAUGGUUUGUUGAUCGAAGGGUGUAGCUCUUUUUGAACUAGGGGUUCCUAUCAGAUGUGAUUCUGGUGGUAUUAAGGCUUCCACACAAGUGAAGAUGCUAGUGCAUUAAAAAGGCAAGGAUAGCCUCAUUUACUCCCAUAAGAUCUACUGUCCCUACUAGCUGUGUCCUUGUGCAUGUGUGCAGACAAACAGACAAGCACUGCUUCCCACCCCCCAGCCCCGUGCAGGCCAAUUGCCCUCUUCCAUCCUCCAGGGCCAGCUCUGUCCCCAGCCUGUUACACUGAGGGUAGAAAAGAGGCAAGGUAAGGAACCAGUGUGAAAGCUGCUCCUUUUUGCUAUCAGAGCUGAGAGAGGGCUGCUCUAGCCAGUGAAGGAACCUAGCGUUGGGGUCAAACUAUCCUGGAAUCAAAUCCUGACUCUGAACCUCCUAUGUCACCUCAUGUGAGUUACUCAAGUUUCUCACCUCAGUUUUCUCAUCUGUACAGUGAAGUUAACAAUACCAAACUUGCAGUGGUUGUUAAAAUGAAAUGAGGCAACGUAAGUGAAGUAACAGCACGAUGCCUGACACAUAAUAGAUGCUCAAAAAAUGCUUAACAGUUACUAAAGGGGAUGAAGUUCCACCACAAAUACAACCUGUAGUCCCCAGUCAUCCUUGCACAGGACUUGUCUUCUACAACACACUGGGGGAUCCUUCAGGGCAGCAAGGACGUCCUAUUCUUCUGCGUGUCCCUCUAGGGUGCAGGGAGUUUUCCCGACUGAAGGAGUAGCUGGAGCAGGGGCUCUCAGGCCCUGCUGGGGACGACAGUGCAUGUCGACAGUGCAGUCAUAUAAAAUAAUCGCUCCUGGGGCACCUGGGUGGCUCAGUUGGUUAAGUGUCCAACUUCAGCUCAGGUCGUGAACUCCUGGUUCGUGAGUUUGAGCCCCACAUUAGGCUCUUGGCUGUCAGCGUAGAAGCCUACUUCAGCUCCUCUGUCCCCUUCUCUCUCUGCCCCUCACCUGCUUUCUCUCUCUCUUUUCAAAAAUAAAUAAACAUAAAAUAAAACAAAAUAAAAUAAAAUAAAAUAAAAUAAAAUAAAGUAAAGUAAAAUAAUCACUCCUUUCAGGUAUAGAGAUGCACUUGACACCAAUUCGGUGCAAUGGCCCUACCAAAGCCAGAAGCAAAAAAAAAAAAAAAAAAGAGAGAGAGAGAGAGAUGGCAAGGAGAGAGAAGAAUGAAAGACAAAUGCACCACAAUUCACUACAAGAGGAGGUGACCAGCAGUAAAUUGUUGGUGGGGUGUUGGAGCAGGCUGGAAAGUCAAGAAAGGCAUUUCAGUGGAAGUGAGUAUUGGAGCAGGAAUAGAAUUUCAAAAGCAAUUUGCAGAAGAAUUGAAUAAAGAAGUGGGGGAGAAGGAGAAAGAGUAAAUGGGAAGAGUGAUUCUGAGGCAGGCACCCAGGGCAGCCCAGUGCCUCGGGUGGGGCACUAGGCAGAGGGCAGGAAUAAGGGGUGUGGAAAAGCAGGGGCCAGGGGCCAGGGAAGCCCGAGGGAGGCAGAGGGUAAAGGCAGGGGAGCUCAGGCAGGGGAGCCAAACACAGCCUCCCCAAGGCCAUGGAUACAAGCAGAGGGCAAGGGAAGCUGCCUGUUCUGGGCCCGCAGUCCUUGCUGCCAUGGGGGAGGGAGGACCCUCCAGGGGCAGAGGUGAGCAUAGCAGUGCCGAGACAGGUGGAGAGGGGGGACGGCAAGGGAGGCCUUAGCAGCUUUCCGGUUUCUACAGUCACUGACUCAGUGGGUGGAGCAGUUCUGUGCAAGAGAAAUGUGGGGAGAAGAUCUGAAGUAGUUGAGAGACCUAUUUCUAAACUCCACAGGGAAGAAACCAGACGAAGCUGAAGAGGGGCAGAGGCCAGCAAGUCUUGUGGUAAGAUGAUGAUGGGCUUUUAUCCCUGCCAUGGCCAAGCCCUAGGUCCCUAGGUCGGGCGCCUCAGUCUCCGGCAGACACUGGUCAAAGCCUCACUUGUUCUUCUUCUCAUUCCCCUUCUCCUCCUCCUCCUCCUCCUCCUCCUCCUCCUCCUCNNNNNNNNNNNNNNNNNNNUCUUCUUCUUCUUCUUCUUCUUCUUCUUCUUCUUCUCUUAAUUUUUAUUCAUUUUUGAGAGAGAGAGGGAGAGAGCAAGCAGGGGAGGGGAAGAGAGAGGGAGACAAUAGACUCUGAAGCAGGUUCCAGGCUCUGAGCUGUCAGCACAAAGCCUGACCCAGUUUGAACUCACAAAGCAGGAGAUCAUGACCUGAGCUGAAGUCAGAUGCUUCGACUGAGCCACCCAGGCGCCCCUCAAAACCUCACUUCUGCCAUUCUCCCCACCAGCUGAGAGACCGGGAAUAUUUCCUGAUACUGCCUCUCUUUUGUUUUACAUGAAAUGACAGGCCUCGGCAGGGGACGGGGGGGUGGGGGAUGGCAUCUCACACCUUGGCAGGGUUAGUUGAACCCCAAACAUGAACCAUGGACUUUGAUUGUAAAGAAAAUUGCAUCGCUUUAUGGCAUGGAAUGAUUUCCAGGACUGUUCAUGAAAAUAGCAAGAUACAGAGAAAUGUAUAUAGUGUUCUACUUAUUUUAAAAGUUUACUUACUUAUUUUGAGAGAGAGAGAGAGAGAGAGAGAGAGAGAGAGAGAGAGAGAGAAGGGCAGAGAAAAGAGUGAGGCAGAGGCAGAGGGAGAGGGAGGAGAGAGAAUCCCAAGCAGGCUCUGCACUGUCAGUGGAGAGCCCAAUGUGGGGCUCAAACUCAUGGACAGUGAGAUCAUGAUCUGAGCUGAAACCAAUAGUUGGACACUUAACCAACUGAGCCACCCAGGUGCCACUGCUACUUUUUUUAAAAAUGUCUUUAAGUUUAUAUUUAAAUUCCAGUUAGUUAACAUACAGUGUAAUAUUAGUUUCAAGGGUACAAUAUAGUGAUUCAUCACUUUCAUACAACAUCAGGUGCUCAUCACAAGUGCUCUCCUUGAGCUUAUCAGCUCUCCUCUGAUAACCAUCAGUUUGUUCUCUAUAGUUAAGAGCCACUUUCUUGGUUUGCCUCUCUCUCUCUUUUUUUUCCCCUUUGCUCAUUUGUUUUGUUUCUUAAAUUUCACAUGAGUGAAGUCAUAUGGCAUUUGUCCUUCUCUGACUGAUUUAUUUUGCUUUGCAUAAUACUGUCUGGCUCCAUCCACAUCAUUGCAAAUGGCAAGAUUUCAUUCUUUUUUAUGUCCGAGUAAUAUUCCAUUAUAUAUAAAUACCACAUCUUCUUUAUCCAUUCAUCAGUCAGUGGACAUUUGGGUUGUUUCCCUAAUUUGUCCAUUGUAGAUAAUGCUGCUAUAAAUAUUGGGGUGCAUGUAUCCCUUUUGAUUAGUGUUUUUGUAUUCUUUGGGUGAAUACCUAGUAGUGCAAUUGCUGGGUCAUAGGGUGGUUCUAUUUUUAACUUUUUGAGGAGCCUCCAUACUGUUCUCCAGAGUGGCUGCACCAGUUUACAUUGCCACCAACAGUACAAGAGGGUUCCCCUUUCUCCACAUCCUUGCCAACACCUGUUGUUUCUUGUAUUGUUGAUUUUAGCCAUUCUGACAGGUGUGAGGUGAUAUCUCAUUGUAGUUUUGAUUUGUAUUUCCCUGAUGAUGAAUGUUGUUGAGCAUCUUUUCAUGUGUCUGUUGGCCAUCUGUAUGUCUUCUUUGGGAAAAUGUCUGUUCAUGUCUUCUGCCCAUUUUUGGUUUUUUGGGUGUUGAGUUUUGUAAGUUCUUUAUAUAUUUUGCAUACUAAAUAUGUAAAGACGCAUCAUUUUGCAAAUAUCUUCUCCCAUUCCAUAGGUUGCCUUUUCAUUUUAUUGUUUCCUUUGUUGUGCAGCUGCUUUUUAUUUUGAUGAAGACCCAAUAGUUUAUUUUUGCUUUUGUUUCCCUUACCUGAGGAGACAUAUCUAGAAAUAAGUUGCCACGGCCAAUGUCAAAGAAAUUACUGCUUGUAUUCUCCUCUAGGAUUUUUAUAAUUUCCCAUCUCACAUUUAGGUCUUUAAUCCAUUUUGAAUUUAUGUUUGUGUAUGGCAUAAGAAAGUGGUCCAGAUUCAUUCUUUUGCAUGUUGCUGUCCAGUUUUCCCAGCACCAUUUGUUGGAGAGACCACUUGUUGUCUUUUUUCCAUUGGAUAUUCUUUCCUGCUUUGUCAAAGAUUGACCAGAUAGUUGUGGGUUCAUUUCUGGGGUUUCUAUUCUGUUCUAUUGAUCUAUGUGUCUAUUUUUGUGCCAGUACUGUACUGUUUUGAUCACUGCAGCUUUGUAAUAUAAUGUGAAGUUCCGAAAUGUGAUGUCUCCAGCUUUUCUUUUUUUUUUCUUUUUUGAGAGACAGAGAGAGAGAGAGAGAGAGAGAGUACAAGUGAGCAAGGGGCAGACAGAUAAAGAGAAAAAGAAUCCCACGAGGGGCAGAGAGAGAGAGAGAGAGAGAGAGAGAGAGAGAGAGAGAGAAAUGGGGCUCACCCGGGGCUCAUGUUUUAACCAAAGUGGGGCUCGUGCUAACCUAAAACGGGGCUCAGGCUCACCUGAUGUGGAACUCAAACUCAUGAACUAUGAGAUCAUGACCUGAGCUGAAGUCAGAUCACCCAGGAGCCCUGCUUUUCUUUUUCAAGGUUGUUUGACUAUUGGGGGUCAGACUGAUAACCAGCAAAGAAACUGGUUCAGUAAUCAAAAAUCUCCCAACAAACAGAAGUCCAGGGCAGGAUAGCUUCACAGGUGAAUUCUACCAAACAUUUAAAGAAGAGUUAAUGCCUAUUCUUCUCAAACUAUUCCACAAAGUAGAAAAGGAAGGAAAACUUGCAAAUUCAUUCCAUGAGGUCAGCAUUACCCUGAUACCAAGACAGAUAAAGACUCAACUAAAAAAGGGAACUACAGGCCAAUAUCCCUGAUGAACAUGGAUACAAAAAUUCUCAAUAAAAUAAUGGCAAUCCAAAUCCAAGAAAACAUUAAAAAAUCAUUCACCACAAUCAAGUGGAAUUUAUUCCUGGGUUGCAAGGGUGGUUCAAUAUUUGCAAAUCAAUCAAUGUGGUACUCUAAAUUAAUAAAAGAAAGGAUAAAAACCAUAUAACCUCAAUAGAUGAAGAAAAAGCAUUUGACAAAGUAUAUCAUCCAUUCAUGAUAAAAACCUUCAACAAAGUAGGUUUAGAGGGAACGUUCCUCAACAUGAUAAAGGCCAUAUCUGAAAAACCCACAGCUAAUGUCAUCUUCAAUGGGGAACAACUGAGAGCUUUUCCUCUAUCAGGAAUAAGACAGGAAUGUCUCACCACUCUUGCCACUUUUAUGUAACAUAGUACUGGAAGUCCUAGCCUCAGCAAUCAAACACAAAGAAAUAAAAGGCAUCCAAAUUGGCAAGGAACAAGUCAAAACUUUCACUAUUUGCAGAUGAUAUGAUACUCUAUAUAGAAAAAGAAAGACUCCACAAAAAAGCUACCAGAAUGGAUACAUGAAUUCAGUAAAGUUGCAGGAUUCAAAAUCAAUAUACAGAAAUUGUUGCAUAUCUAUACACCAAUAAUGAAACAGUAGAAAGAGAAAUUAAAGAAUCAAUUCCAUUUACAGUUGUAUAAAAAAGCAAUAAGAUACCUAGGAAUAAACUUAAUGAAGGAAAUGAAAGACCUGUACUCUGAAAACUAUAAAACAUUGAUGAGAGAAAUUGAAGAAGACACAAAGAAAUGGAAGGACAUUCCAUGCUCAUGCAUUAGAAGAACAAAUAUUGUUAAAAUGUCUGCACUACCUAAAGCAAUCCAUACAUUUAAUGCAAUCCCUAUCAAAAUAUCACCAUUAUUUUUCACAGAGCUAGAACAAACAAUCCUAAAAUUUGUAUGGAACCACAGAAAGUCCCAAAUCACCAGUAUGCUCUUUUGUUUAAGCAUGGGAAGGGGGAGGUAGUAAGAAUAUAUAUAUUCACAUUUGCAUAUAAUUGCAUAAAGAAAUGCUGAAAAAGAUACACCAGAAAUAAAUAAAAGUGGGAAAAGUCCCUUCUGGGGACUAAGGAAUAGAGUUUGGAAACAGGGGUGGGAGUGAGACUUCCAAAUGUAUUCUUUUUGUUUAGAUUUGUGAACCAUAUGAUUGUACCACCCAUUAGACUAGUUAAAAAAUAAAAAUAAAUUAAUUCUAUAGUGUCUAAGUUGUAUGGUACAAAAAAACCACUCAUGGGAACCCAUUCAAUGUGGGGAGUGUGAGAAAAAUAACCUGGACUCCGUUACUGCUAGGAAUCAUGGGAUUGGUAAAGGAACAGAGCAGAGGCUCUUUCUGGGGUCCCCUAGUCUCUUUUCUGUGCUUCUGCCUUUCCGCCAAGUGGCUCCAAAUUUGAGUCUGUCUGGGCUCCUUCCAGUGCUCAGACUGCCCACCUACUCUGGCCCUGCACCAGAGUGCCUAAGUCUAGCCUUGCUCAUAUAGGAUUGGCCUCCCUCAUAGGUAUCAUCCAAUGAGAUGUGGCCAUGGGGCGGGGCUACGCAGCACAAACAGGGCUGACUAAGAUACCCCUCCCUCUUCAGUGGGAGCUGUGGUUGGAGACUAUUUCCCAAAAGAGGGGUUUGGGCAGUAAGACAGUGAUAGGCUUACUUGGUAUAUGCUGUUUCUGGAUGGGUCAGUCAGAGGUCAGGGCAAAGAUCCAGCCAGCAUUGUGGUCCCCUAGACAUGGGGGAGCAGAUGAAGUCUCCUGGAGAAAUGAGGCAGAGACACAGACUUGACUGUUAGGUUAAGAAUCUGUGUUACCUGGGCAAGUCCUUUCCCUUCUCUGGGCUUUAGUUUCUCAUUUGUGGCAAAAGGGAAUGGAACUAGAGGAUACUCUGGGGUUCCUUUGAUCUCUAAUGGGGAAGAAAGCAAAGUGCAGUGAAAAGAGCAUUGAACCAAGAGUGAGGAGACCUGGUUUGGAGUGUCUCCUUGGAGUGCCUUGCUGUUGGACUUUAAUUAGGUCACAUGACCUCCAUGAACCUCAGUUUCCUCUAUCAGAAAAGAGGAUAACACUCCCUGCAGAUUGCUGUUACAGUUAAAUAAACUCAUGGAUGUACAAGUGGCUUGUCAACCGUCCUGUGGGUGCAGGUAUGAGAGGUAAUUAUAAUAGCUACUGCCUCUAUAAAAUAGAAGCAUAACACCUUCCUUGUCUCUCUGUCAGGAUGACCGUGGGUGCAAAUGUGACAGUGUAGGCCUUGUGUAGGCACUGAGCCCUGGACUGGACACAAGAGCUGGGCUGUAUUGCUUGUUGAUUGUGUGACCCUGGCUAAGAGUCCUUCUUUUCUGGGCCUCCCUUUUUCACCUGUGGCCCGGGAAUGCUAUUUCCUGCCUCAUAGGUUGUAGUGAGAAUAGAUGAGAGGGUGAGCAUGAGGUAUGUGGUGUGGACUGUGUUGUGAUUUUCAGUGACAGGAAUGAUUAAUGGGACUAUUCCCUGGUUCCCCAACCCCUGGUUUGAAAGCCAAAGCCAAAGGUGGGUAUACUGUGAUGUCAAUUAAACUCACACAGAUCUUCUCCAAAGUCCUGUGAAGGAUCUUAGUGAUGCAUUUACAUGGUCACAAUGUUUCUGUAAAACUUACAGAAGUGAAAUGUUUCCAUUAAGAUCACUGCCUCUUCCACUGUAACUCCCAUGUCAUAUUUCCACCAUGUUGGACAUCUUUGGGACCCUGACCAAGGGGAAGUUGAAUUGAAGAUUUGGUUUAGUGGGAUAUAGUUAUGUACUUUACAAUCACUCUGAUGUAUAGCUAAAUUAUUGCUAGCCGUUUGGCAAUAAUACUCCUGCCCAGCAAUACCCACCAUGCCAACUCACCCAUUAUCAUGACAAAAAGGUGCAGACCAGAGGUCAUACUGAAAUAUGUAUUUAUAUGAAAUAUGAAUGUGUCAGCACCCAGUACUGGCAGGUUGUGGAGGAGAAACAAGGUUUGAAAUGUACAGAACCAGAGCUGGUCGGUAAAAAAUGCUUCCACCAUCAGAACAUAGGACUCAUUUCUCAUGGAUGCCCGGUCAAAAUGGAAAUUCUCUCCUCUCAAAGAAUGUCAGAAUUCCAUCGUUAGUAGGGCUUGUGUACUGUAGGAGUCCUACAAGUAGCAAGUACUUCUGGGUAAAGUUGUAUGUUUUAUGCAUCUCAUUAUAUGGAAUCACAUCUCAGUGUAACUGAUGCAUCUUGUCCUGAUGUGGUCUGGUAUUUCCAGAUGAAAUGGCACACGAAAUCCCCAACAGAACAAGACGGCCCAGAGAAACAAGUGUUCCAGUGACAAAACUCCUACACAUACUCAUCAAUAACUACAGUGUACAUAGCGCAAGAGUAAUUUUCUUACACAAUUAUGUAGCUAAAAACAAUGUAGCAGCAAUUUAAGAAUGCAUCUGAAUUGCUCUGGUUAAUGAGCCAUCAAUUCCAAAUAUUUAAGACUGGUCCUCCCCCUGCAAUCUUACAGCUCACUUAUGAAAGAUAUUUGAUAGAGGUUUCCCCCAAUUUGGCAACAAUCCUGAAAAUUUCCAACUUUAUCAAUAAGUCGUGAAGCCGAAAGAAACUUUUGGGGGAAUUUUGUGUUAUUUGGGGGGAUUUUGUCAUAUUUGUACUAUGUCAGCUUUUCUUAUACAUUGUUUUUUUGGUUGUUUUGGUUUCUUUUCUCAUUCCCAGUAAUUAUUCAUGUUCAUACCUGAUUUUGUAUUUAUAAUUUUUAUUAUUUUCUUUACAGAAAUCCUCCAAUGUACACAAGCCUAAGGGCCCACAAAACGUGGAUCUGCUGUGGCCUGAGGAGCGGCACUGACUCACCCUCUGGAGACCACACCAGAACUCCUGUCCCUCCUGCCCUCCCGUGGGUGAGCCCUGGGUGAGCCCUUGCACGCCCCACCAGCACAGCAUGCACUACCGCUGUCACUGCUCUCAAGCCGCAGCGCCCCUCCUGGGCCCAGCGGGCAGCAGCCACAUGUCCCAGGGGGAAUGAGUCUCCGGAGCCCUCACCCUCCUGCACACUCCCCUGUUCAGCUUUCUGAUGGGUCUAGACGAUCUCACACCUUCUCUUUUGCUCCUCAGCACCAUCAAGACAAAAGAGUCUGGCAUCCAAGGCCCUUGUGGGUCUAGUUUUAUUUUACAUGGACAAUGGGGUUUUAUUUUAUGUUUUUUGAAAUGGGAUUUUAAAAAUUAAAUUUCCUUGCAGAAGAAGGCUGAUAAACAGGAACGCAAUUUUAUAUCUGGUCACCACAUUAAUUGUUUAAUGUUUUCUAUUUUUUUCCCCUAUUGAUUCUUCAGGAAUUUCUAGGAAGACAAGCACGUCAUCUGCAAAUAGCCAUGUGGUCAAUUCCUUGCCAAUAUUUAUCCUUCUGUACCAGUCAGAAGUUCUGUUUGCAAACAACAGAAACCAGCUCUACUUAAACUAACAUGGGAAGGUUAUUGGGAGAGACAAACUCGGAGCAGCCAAAAUAACCAAUAAAGUCCUAUUACAGUUCUGCCUGCUUUUCAUGCUUAUAGUGCCCCCACCACCACCACCACCACCAAAGUUCCAGCCUGCCAAACUGACGAUGUUUUCACUCUUUUAUUGUUA